UGAAAUAAUUAAGUCAACUGAAUGAGUGGCC
rnacentral:piRNA from 1 species